rnacentral:rRNA from 1 species
CCUACGGGUGGCAGCAGUGAGGAAUAUUGGUCAAUGGACGAGAGCCUGAACCAGCCAAGUAGCGUGAAGGAUGACUGCCCUAUGGGUUGUAAACUUCUUUUAUCUGGGAAUAAAAUGUUCCACGUGUGGGAUUUUGUAUGUACCAUAUGAAUAAGGAUCGGCUAACUCCGUGCCAGCAGCCGCGGUAAUACGGAGGAUCCGAGCGUUAUCCGGAUUUAUUGGGUUUAAAGGGAGCGUAGGUGGGUUGUUAAGUCAGUUGUGAAAGUGUGCGGCUCAACCGUAAAAUUGCAGUUGAAACUGGCAGUCUUGAGUACAGUAGAGGUAGGCGGAAUUCGUGGUGUAGCGGUGAAAUGCGUAGAUAUCACGAAGAACUCCGAUUGCGAAGGCAGCUCACUGGACUGCAACUGACACUGAGGCUCGAAAGUGUGGGUAUCAAACAGGAUUAGAUACCCCUGUAGUC